rnacentral:rRNA from 1 species
UACGUAGGUGGCAAGCGUUGUCCGGAAUUAUUGGGCGUAAAGGGCGCGCAGGCGGUCCUUUAAGUCUGAUGUGAAAGCCCACGGCUCAACCGUGGAGGGUCAUUGGAAACUGGGGGACUUGAGUACAGAAGAGGAAAGUGGAAUUCCACGUGUAGCGGUGAAAUGCGUAGAGAUGUGGAGGAACACCAGUGGCGAAGGCGACUUUCUGGUCUGUAACUGACGCUGAGGCGCGAAAGCGUGGGGAGCAAACAGG